GACGAACGCUGGCGGCGUGCUUAACACAUGCAAGUCGAACGGAAAGGCCCUGCUUUUGUGGGGUGCUCGAGUGGCGAACGGGUGAGUAACACGUGAGUAACCUGCCCUUGACUUUGGGAUAACUUCAGGAAACUGGGGCUAAUACCGGAUAGGAGCUCCUGCUGCAUGGUGGGGGUUGGAAAGUUUCGGCGGUUGGGGAUGGACUCGCGGCUUAUCAGCUUGUUGGUGGGGUAGUGGCUUACCAAGGCUUUGACGGGUAGCCGGCCUGAGAGGGUGACCGGCCACAUUGGGACUGAGAUACGGCCCAGACUCCUACGGGAGGCAGCAGUGGGGAAUAUUGCACAAUGGGCGGAAGCCUGAUGCAGCAACGCCGCGUGCGGGAUGACGGCCUUCGGGUUGUAAACCGCUUUCGCCUGUGACGAAGCGUGAGUGACGGUAAUGGGUAAAGAAGCACCGGCUAACUACGUGCCAGCAGCCGCGGUGAUACGUAGGGUGCGAGCGUUGUCCGGAUUUAUUGGGCGUAAAGGGCUCGUAGGUGGUUGAUCGCGUCGGAAGUGUAAUCUUGGGGCUUAACCCUGAGCGUGCUUUCGAUACGGGUUGACUUGAGGAAGGUAGGGGAGAAUGGAGUUCCUGGUGGAGCGGUGGAAUGCGCAGAUAUCAGGAGGAACACCAGUGGCGAAGGCGGUUCUCUGGGCCUUUCCUGACGCUGAGGAGCGAAAGCGUGGGGAGCGAACAGGCUUAGAUACCCUGGUAGUCCACGCUGUAAACGGUGGGUACUAGGUGUGGGGUCCAUUCCACGGGUCCCGUGCCGUAGCUAACGCUUUAAGUACCCCGCCUGGGGAGUACGGCCGCAAGGCUAAAACUCAAAGGAAUUGACGGGGCCCCGCACAAGCGGCGGAGCAUGCGGAUUAAUUCGAUGCAACGCGUAGAACCUUACCUGGGUUUGACAUGGAUCGGGAGUGCUCAGAGAUGGGUGUGCCUCUUUUGGGGUCGGUUCACAGGUGGUGCAUGGCUGUCGUCAGCUCGUGUCGUGAGAUGUUGGGUUAAGUCCCGCAACGAGCGCAACCCUUGUUCACUGUUGCCAGCACGUUAUGGUGGGGACUCAGUGGAGACCGCCGGGGUCAACUCGGAGGAAGGUGGGGAUGACGUCAAGUCAUCAUGCCCCUUAUGUCCAGGGCUUCACGCAUGCUACAAUGGCUGGUACAGAGAGUGGCGAGCCUGUGAGGGUGAGCGAAUCUCGGAAAGCCGGUCUCAGUUCGGAUUGGGGUCUGCAACUCGACCUCAUGAAGUCGGAGUCGCUAGUAAUCGCAGAUCAGCAACGCUGCGGUGAAUACGUUCCCGGGGCU
rnacentral:rRNA from 1 species